AAAAGAAGAACGAAGAAGAAGACAGAGGAGAGGGUGGAACUGUGGAGACGAACGACGGAGCCUGAGGCGCUCGUUAACGACAGUGGGCCAAACGGUUGAGGAAGGGAGUACACCGACGUCGAGGGAAGUUGGUGAGUCCUUGUGAAGAAGACAUGGGGUGUUGAGAGGAAGAAAAGAUCAAGAACGAGGUGGGAAGAAGAAGCUGAAAACUGAGGGGGCACGAACCCUACCCGACCCACCUGUACAGAACCAAAACUCGAUUAAGUUUUGGGAAGUCUACGAUCAGGAGAAAAGUAGACUCUGGGUCGGUGGCGGGGACGUGUGGAGUCGUGCAGCUGCAGAAGGGGGGCCCUUAGAUCGAGUCCUCUUCUCCCAUGUCAUUUUGGUUAUGAUUUUUGACAUCUUUGAAAACCUACUAUAUUUUGUAACCGUUGUGUUUAUGUGACCCGCAAAUCUUCGUUAUGUGUUUUAUAUUUUUUUGGAAAUGUA